rnacentral:rRNA from 1 species
CCUACGGGGGGCAGCAGUGAGGAAUAUUGGUCAAUGGACGCGAGUCUGAACCAGCCAUGCCGCGUGCAGGAAGACGGCUCUAUGAGUUGUAAACUGCUUUUAUAAGGGGAUAAAUCCCGAUACGUGUGUCUGUUUGAAAGUAUCUUACGAAUAAGGAUCGGCUAACUCCGUGCCAGCAGCCGCGGUAAUACGGAGGAUUCAAGCGUUAUCCGGAUUUAUUGGGUUUAAAGGGUGCGUAGGUGGGUUGAUAAGUUAGAGGUGAAAGCUCGCGGCUCAACCCUGGAAUUGCCUCUGAUACUGUCGGGCUAGAGUUUAGUUGCGGUAGGCGGAAUGUAUGGUGUAGCGGUGAAAUGCAUAGAGAUCAUACAGAACACCGAUUGCGAAGGCAGCCUACUAAACUACGACUGACGUUGAGGCACGAAAGUGUGGGGAGCAAACAGGAUUAGAUACCCGUGUAGUC